GCGACGGGUGAGUAACCGUGGGCAAUCUGCCCUGCACUCUGGGACAAGCCCUGGAAACGGGGUCUAAUACCGGAUACUGACCCCCGCAGGCAUCUGCGGGGUUCGAAAGCUCCGGCGGUGCAGGAUGAGCCCGCGGCCUAUCAGCUUGUUGGUGAGGUAACGGCUCACCAAGGCGACGACGGGUAGCCGGCCUGAGAGGGCGACCGGCCACACUGGGACUGAGACACGGCCCAGACUCCUACGGGAGGCAGCAGUGGGGAAUAUUGCACAAUGGGCGAAAGCCUGAUGCAGCGACGCCGCGUGAGGGAUGACGGCCUUCGGGUUGUAAACCUCUUUCAGCAGGGAAGAAGCGAAAGUGACGGUACCUGCAGAAGAAGCGCCGGCUAACUACGUGCCAGCAGCCGGGGUAAAUACG
rnacentral:rRNA from 1 species